rnacentral:rRNA from 1 species
AUGAAGACGGACUAUGGUGUGGGGAUUGGGGAGGAUAGGCAUGAAGUGUCUUCACCUCUUGAAAAAAUAGAGGGCAAAUAUCAUCUGCCCAGGUCGCACACACGAACACUGGACCAGCCGCCGGCGGCGGCGGCGGCGCGAGCUCUGUCUCCGGGGAGAAGCUGCAUCAGUGCCGCAGCCAGUGGGCCAGCGGCUACUCCGUGCGUUGAAAGCAGGGUGUGCCCAACUCUGCUUUCGGGGAGUGGAGCUCGUCUUGGUGCGGCCGCCGGCGACGGGGGUGACCAGUCCAGGUUUGCUCCGGCGACCUCCGUUGCAAGCCCAGGCAGGUACACCAGGUCCACCAUGUCGGCCUUCACCGGCGUCUCCAUCGCCGGCAGCAACAGGCAGUGCUUCUGCGAGACGUCGGCCGUGGACGCCCGCGGGGACAGCGGCUACCACCUGCUCAUGGUCACCGGCUACUCGCGCACCAAACAGCUGAUUCCCACCGGCGAGGGCAUCACUGCCGGUCCUUUCAGUGUAGGAGGCCACGAUUGGAUGAUUGAGUACUACCCCAACGGCGAGAACCCGAGCUGCGCCGACGAGGGAGAGCCCGUGGAGGUCAGGUUCAGUUUCAGCCUCGUCGACCAGGUUGAGAAGCAGAUGGCGACGCACAUCCGUGGAACCGGUGAGACUCGCGACUUCUCCACCGCUACUUCAAUCUGGGGCAACGACAGGUUUAUGAGAAGAGACGCCGUUGAACAUUCAGCGGGUCUCAAGUGUGAUUGUCUCACCAUCCGGUGCGACGUCGUGGUCCUCCGCAACAGCAAGGUUGAUGAUGAUGAUGAUGCCGGUGGCCAUGGCGGCACCAAGGAGCUCCUGCUGCCGGACAUACACCAGCAUUUCAACAGUCUCCUUCAAAAUAAGGUGGGCGCCGAUGUGGCAUUCCAGGUCGGCGACAAGACCUUCGCCGCACAUCGGUGUGUGCUUGCUGCCCGAUCCACAGUGUUCAUGGCACAACUCUUUGGCCCCAUGAAGGAGGCAUCCAACACUGUCAUACAGAUCAAAGACAUGGAUUCAAAGGUGUUCACGGCUUUGCUUAGCUUUGUGUACACAGACUCGUUCCCUGACAUGUACGAGGACAACAUUAAGUUGAGUGAAAUAUGCAAAGAUACGGGACAAGGACAAGAAGAUGAAAUGCCGGAAGCUGUGGACCAAGGACAAGAUGCGGAAGCGGCAGAGGAUGAAAUGGGGCUGGUGCAAUGGCUGCAGGGCUUGUUUGUAGCGGCAGACCGGUACGAUCUCCAGCGGCUCAAGUUCAUCUGUGUAAAGCAGUUGUCUCAGCGCAUGGGUGUGAGCUCUGUGGCGUCCACCCUUGCUCUAGCCGAGCAGCACCACUGUCGUGGAUUGAAGGAGGAAUUAGUCUUCUUCUGGGUGCUUGCUGUUCUCCUCGGCUGGCGCCCCACACCCCCUAGGGAGACGAAGAUAAUGAAUAUCUUUUGGUCAAGCAUGUCCAAAGCUUUGGGAGUCAUUCAUAUGGUCCUGGCAUGCGCUGCCGCAUUAACAUCGUUACUCGAGCAUCAUAUUAGUGGGCGAUUUGGAAUAUUUGUCUGUUUUCAGGGGAGGCGAAGCAAUGCAACGGAGAGACUUGCACUAUGUGAGAUGAGGUAUAUUAGGUAUGCUCACUCCUGGACGAAAAAAAAGCUGUGCAAGUGCAAGCACACAUCACUUACUGCUGGACCGAGGAUUUUGGACCUUGUAUGGAGAAGAAAAGAGAAGAGGAGACUUGCUCUGACGGAUUGCUUGGCCGGAAUGUUAUGCGGCGGAUGCCGAGCACUCCCUGUAUGCACCUACCUCAAGGCCAACACGUUCCCUGCCCUGCCUGAUUUCUUGAGAGAAGAGCAGCAUGGAUCAGCCACCAUGACAGGGAUCAUCCAAACGCUGCCUCAAGCCCCCGGGCCCGGCGCCAUCAUCACCAUGUACAUGUACUCGACCACCACAGCCUCCCCUCACGCCGAAGGCCGCACGCACCCUCCCCUUGGCCACGAGCCUCAUAAACCGAUAGCUGAAAACUGA